rnacentral:rRNA from 1 species
UACGGGGGGGGCAAGCGUUGUUCGGAAUUACUGGGCGUAAAGAGCGUGUAGGCGGUCAGGUAGGUCGGUUGUGAAAACUGGAGGCUCAACCUUCAGAGGUCGACCGAAACCCCCUGGCUAGAGUCCGGGAGAGGAGAGUGGAAUUCCUGGUGUAGCGGUGAAAUGCGCAGAUAUCAGGAAGAACACCCGUGGCGAAAGCGGCUCUCUGGAACGGUACUGACGCUGAGACGCGAAAGCGUGGGGAGCGAACAGG